GUUCUUCAAAUUGGAAAUAGGCCUACUGGCUGACAGAAAAAAGGCCCUGAAUUUUCCUAGAGAAAUAUAAAUUUAUACAUGUCACAAGUCAUCUUUUGGACUAAUUGUGGAAAAAACAGGAGGAGAUUUUUAAGUUUGCUAACGUCAUGAGAUGUUCUGCAAGAAUUGUGCAGAAAUUUGUAGCUGCUUUACGGGGCCAAUGAGAUCCAGUUGAUGUUUUAGCCUGCAUUUAUGAUUGAUGAGCUGUGCAGCAAUGCAGAUUUUUAAAAUAAAGAUUGGACAGCUGUCUACUGUUGUGUAAUGCACAUCCAAACAUGGAUUUCCUAAUGGUUGAUCUUGUGCCAUCUGCCCAAGGACAAAGGAUAAGAGAAGCUGUAGUAAAACAGAACCUAUAGCCUUCCAUCUGCUCUCAUCAGAAACAACUGUAAAUCCAUUAGCUGUUACAAGACUGGUACAAAUAUAAAUGUAUAGUAGAUAGACACUAGAGUCAUCAAAAAAGAUAACAGAACAACAAAUGCAAAAUAAGUGAAAUAUAGAGAUAAAUUGCUCUGGAUAAUAGACUGGAGAACCAGUUGUGUGUUGUGAAAGGAAUCAGGAUGAAAAUAUGUAAAUAUGAUAAUCUUAGUUGCAAUUUGAGGUGCAACUAUAGACCAAAGGAAGAUAUUUAAAACAGCUUUAAUGGGCCAUGUUUAAAAACUUUUUCUAAAAGUUUUACCUCUGUAUAUGCUUCAUUUCAGUUUU